GCCUAACACAUGCAAGUCGAACGGGGUAGCAAUACCCAGUGGCGAACGGGUGCGUAACACGUGAGCAACCUGCCCUUUGGUGGGGGAUAGCCGGCCUAACGGCCGGGUAAUACCGCGUAUUGCAUCAUGAUCGCAUGGUCGUGAUGUGAAAGCCUUCGGGCGCCAGGGGAGGGGCUCGCGUCGUAUCAGCUUGUUGGUGGGGUAACGGCCUACCAAGGCAACGACGCGUAGCUGGUCUGAGAGGAUGAUCAGCCACAUUGGGACUGAGAUACGGCCCAGACUCCUACGGGAGGCAGCAGUGGGGAAUAUUGCGCAAUGGCCGAAAGGCUGACGCAGCGACGCCGUGUGUGGGAAGAAGGCCCUCGGGUUGUAAACCACUGUCAGGAGGGACGAAUCAAUGACGGUACCUCCAGAGGAAGCACCGGCUAACUCCGUGCCAGCAGCCGCGGUAAUACGGAGGGUGCGAGCGUUGUCCGGAAUCACUGGGCGUAAAGGGCGCGUAGGCGGCCCAGUAAGUAGGGGGUGAAAUCUCACGGCUCAACCGUGAAACGGCCUCCUAAACUGCUGAGCUUGAGCACGGUAGAGGCAGAUGGAAUUCCCGGUGUAGCGGUGGAAUGCGUAGAUAUCGGGAAGAACACCAGUGGCGAAGGCGGUCUGCUGGGCCGUUGCUGACGCUGAGGCGCGACAGCGUGGGGAGCAAACAGGAUUAGAUACCCUGGUAGUCCACGCCGUAAACGAUGGGUACUAGGCGUCGGGGGGAGCGACCCCUUCGGUGCCGUCGCUAACGCAGUAAGUACCCCGCCUGGGGAGUACGGCCGCAAGGCUGAAACUCAAAGGAAUUGACGGGGGCCCGCACAAGCGGUGGAGCAUGUGGUUUAAUUCGAUGCAACGCGAAGAACCUUACCUGGGCUUGACAUGCACGAGAAAGCCGGUGGAAACACCGGCCCCUCUUCGGAGUUCGUGCACAGGUGCUGCAUGGCUGUCGUCAGCUCGUGUCGUGAGAUGUUGGGUUAAGUCCCGCAACGAGCGCAACCCUUGUCCUUAGUUGCCAGCGGAUAAUGCCGGGGACUCUAGGGAGACUGCCGGUGUCAAACCGGAGGAAGGUGGGGAUGACGUCAAGUCAUCAUGGCCCUUACGUCCAGGGCUACACACGUGCUACAAUGGCCGGUACAGAGCGUCGCGAACUCGCGAGGGUAAGCUAAUCGCAAAAAGCCGGUCUAAGUUCGGAUUGCAGUCUGUAACUCGACUGCAUGAAGUCGGAAUCGCUAGUAAUCGCGGAUCAGCUACGCCGCGGUGAAUACGUUCCCGGGCCUUGUACACACCGCCCGUCACGCCAUGGAAGCUGGGGGGACCCGAAGCCGGUGGGCUAACCGCAAGGAGGCAGCCGUCUAAGGUCAAAUCAGUGACUGGGGCGAAGUCGUAACAAGGUAGCCGUAGGGGAACCUGCGGCUGGAUCACCUCCUUA
rnacentral:rRNA from 1 species